CUCGCCGGUGGUGGUGGUGGUGGUGCCACUGGUAGUGGAGGCAUUGCAGCUUCUGGCAACUCGCGAGCACUGCCCCUUUGCGCACGUCGAGUGACGAAGUUUAAUUUGUACCUUGUUUUGACGCUUGUUUUGCAUGUGUUUUCUUCAGAAGCCGCUAUGAUGCCGCUGUUGUAGUUUGGUUUUCACUUGCUGCUGCUGGAGGUAAUUUGUCGUGUGCUGGGGGCGAGGCAGUGAGUGAAGCGGUAGGAUAGUUUUGCGUGCGAGUGUUUGUGCGUGAGUCCAGCUGUGUUCAGGUGUUUCUAUCAGAAUUAAAGGGCGGUAGGCGAGGAUGAGACACUUUGGGGUUGGGGACACACCUGGCGCAUUCCUAACACACGUCCACCGGCUCACACUCUGCCUGGGAGGCUUACAUUGUGCCUCAGUGCAGCCUGGCGUCAAGGGACCACAUGGCAACGCGCAGGAGCCCUCCUCUCUCCCUCCUCCCUCUCCCCUGUUAGUCCCCUAUUCAUCUCUGCCACCGCCAGUGUUCGAGAGGAGCCGUUAGAGGGAGGGUGUAGCGAGUCGUGCUCUUGACCUGCACUCUUCGGUUCCACUUCUCUCUACCUCGGGUGGUGACUGACGGUGUAGCGUCCUCGGUGGAGCAUCCCGUCGUAGUGUGGUGUAGCCCCUCGUGGUCGAGGCCCUGCCCUUGAGAUCCUGCCGGCGGGAGGAGGCGGGGAGUGACGCGGUGUGUUAGUGUUUGCGAGGCGGCGCUUCGCUGACCUUCAAUAGGGUAACGUCUUGUGGGAUCCAGUGCCCGAAAUUUGCCACAUUUGGUGCUGUGUGCGGCAAUACUGUGCUGCUGCUUCGCAGAACGCGCCCCUACAUAAUCCGCCGGAGGCUGUCCAGGUGACGCCUUAUCAUCUUGCACACGCACCCAUCAGAUCCAGGUGACUCCUGACACACUCCGGUCCUCGGCUUGGCUCAGGUAAACAUUGGAUUGCAGUACCGACUCGCCCCUCUGCGCUCCACCGAAAAUAUUGGUGUGUGACGGCCGCUGCUGCCUGCCUGCCUGCCUGCCUGCUGCUGUUACUUUUACUGCCUGCCUCCUUUCUUCGUUAAGGAGGGAGACAAUGAAAAAGGACAACUGCAUGCGGCCUGCACAGUGCAGCUUCAGGGUGUUGGCUCCCACUCAGUGGUAAUACACCACACGGGGCGAAGCGAUGGACUGACUGGCUGACUUAUGAUAACCACGCGCAUUUUGAAAACUCCCAUUAUUGUUCAGCUUGGAGGUGGUGGUGGUGGUGGUGGUGCUAGCGGCGGCGGUAGUGGACAAAGCAAGAGUGAUUAUAUUCACAGGAUAUUUAGUUCUGAAAAUAGAUUUGUCUAGGUUGGUAGUGUGUUAAUUUAUUCGUUUUUUUUUUAUCACUUUCCAUAACUACACCCUUGCUGAAUAAGUUAAAACGUGCACAUUCACUGUCACUGCCGGAGCAACACACCGCACUCACCACCACCGUUUUUUGUCCUUUCAUUCAUUCCAAAGCUCUCUGAUCUGCUGACUGUCGCAUUAUAACACCCGAGAACUGACUCAUUUAUAGCACGUGAGGACUUAGGGAUGAGGAAACAAGGUAAAAAAAAAAAAAAAAAACAUCGGAAUUAAGUGUGUUAUGUUACCUCACGACUAACCAAAACUGCACGUAGCUGAAGGUAAAGAUGAAGUAAGGUAGGUCUAAACGUGACCUAACCUGACCUGACCUGUCACCCCUGCCCCGCCACCACCCUCAGCGAUUAGGUCACCAGUCAGGCGUGAUCAGGAGCCAUUGUCACCACUAGAAGCUCACUAACUCUCUCUCUCUCUCUCUCUCUCUCUCUCUCUCUCUCUCUCUCUCUCUCUCUCUCUCUCUCUCUCUCUCUCUCUCUCUCUCUCGCCGCUUAUCCCUUUUUCUGUAUUUUCUCCAUGACUCCCUCUCAAACAUCUCCACAAUUUCCUCUCCCACCUGCCUCUCCCUCUCUUCUCCUCUCCUCUCCUCUCCUCUCCUCUCCUCUCCUCUCCUCUCCUCUCCUCUCCUCUCCCCUCCCACCAAUUCCAUUUGUCCCUUCAGUGUAUUCGUAUUUUUUGCUGGUGUGUUUUUCUUUCCUCGAGAUGUAGUAAUCCCAAGAUGGUAAGCAAGAGAGAGAGAGAGAGAGAGAGAGAGAG